CAAUAGCGUAUGCUAAAGUUGUUGCAGUUAAAAGGCUCGUAGUCGAACCUAUGACUCUGUGAACUCGGCCCUAUCUCUAUGAGAUCUGGAGCCGACGUGCACGGGUCAUUCUUCUGGAGAACAGUGAUGCCCUUGAUUGGGUCGGUCGCUGGGACUCGGAUCAUUUACUGUGAGAAAAUCAGAGUGCUCAAAGCAGGCUUUAACGCUUGAAUGGUUCAGCAUGGAAUAAUAAGAUAAGACUUCGGUUUUAUGUUGUUGGCUCGUAGAACCAAAGUAAUGAUUGAAAGGGAUAGUUGGGGGUGCUAGUAUUGUAUGGUCAGCGGUGAAAUGCAAGGACCCAUAUAAGACUAACUUAUGCGAAAGCAUUCACCAAGGAUAUCUUCUUUGA
rnacentral:rRNA from 1 species